rnacentral:tRNA from 1 species
GCUUUUGGGCCCAUACCCCAACAACGUCGGUUAAAAUCCUUCCUUUACUA